UAUUAAUAUAACAACGUAGCAUAAUGCAGAAAUAAAUAAAUGAAUGAAAUGAAAAUAUAUGACGUGCAGUAGAUAUAAAAGUAUAGAAUAAUCUUUACAACGGUCAAAUAAUCUUUUUACUGUAAAGACAGAAGACUUUGUCUCUCGCUCACACACACACACACACACACACUCACACACACAAUCAUUUUCAUUUCCUCUCAUGAACUCCUUUGUUUCUUUCCUUGUGUUCUUUUCUGUUUCUUAUUUCAGUUUCUCUCUACGUUCCUCCGCACAGUUCAACAUCGUUAAACGUUAAACGACUACAACCAGACAAUUCAACACUUAAACAGUUAAAAUCAGAGAUGUGAGGAGGAAAUGUCUUUGGAGCUCCAGGUGUAAAAUAAGAUGCAGCACCAGAUGACUGUAAAGUGGAGAAGUGAGAACUUUAUCCUGUGCGUGUCCUGUUCACACACACUGUACAGCUCUGUGAUGUGAUCUACAGCACGCUUACACAUGGAAACCUCUUCCAGUGGUCCAGAUGUGCAUCGUGCUGUGGAUGUGAGGCACACUCUGCAGAGAAACGCAGGCUGAGGAGAGGAGGAUCUCUGCAUGGAGUCGGAGACCCACCAGUGAAAAGGACUAGUAUCUGAUGUCUCCUGCUCCAUAUUUCACAAUCUUCUCCUUCUAUCUUGCAAGAACUGGUGAGAUUCCUCUUGGUUCCUGUGGUGUUCUGGUGCUGGAAAUCCAGCAGGAUGUUCAGCUUGACUCACGUCGGACUUGACUGAUCUGAGUAUCGGGGCAGGAGGAUCUUCUCACAGUGCUCUGUGUCUGCUGCUGGAGGAGAAAACCAACACCAACCUCACACCACAGAAGCCUACAGACUCAGAACACUGACAUUUAUGAAACCUUGGCAAAAAUAUAGAUUUAUUCAUCAGCACAGUCGGUACAAUCAUUUCUCCACUCAAAUCUAUAAAAACUUAGUAUAAAUGUAAUGAUUAAAACAGCACCUACAUUACAGUUCACUGUCAGUACGUUCACACACACAGGAUCAAAACCGCUGAUGUACAAAAUGACGGAUCAUGAUAUUUAAUCAGACUUUUAUAACAUUAUAAACACGGUGUGUGCACAGCGCCCGCACGGCUCACUGUAAUAACCGUGUUAAUGACAGUCUGAUCUUUCAUGAGGUCUAAGCAGGGUCAUGUGUGUCACUGGUGUCAUCAGGGGCGGAGCAGAGUGG